CCGGCUCACGUUGAACGCUAGCUACAGGCUUAACACAUGCAAGUCGAGGGGCAGCAUGGUCUUAGCUUGCUAAGGCCGAUGGCGACCGGCGCACGGGUGAGUAACACGUAUCCAACCUGCCGUCUACUCUUGGACAGCCUUCUGAAAGGAAGAUUAAUACAAGAUGGCAUCAUGAGUCCGCAUGUUCACAUGAUUAAAGGUAUUCCGGUAGACGAUGGGGAUGCGUUCCAUUAGAUAGUAGGCGGGGUAACGGCCCACCUAGUCUUCGAUGGAUAGGGGUUCUGAGAGGAAGGUCCCUCACAUUGGAACUGAGACACGGUCCAAACUCCUACGGGAGGCAGCAGUGAGGAAUAUUGGUCAAUGGGCGAGAGCCUGAACCAGCCAAGUAGCGUGAAGGAUGACUGCCCUAUGGGUUGUAAACUUCUUUUAUAAAGGAAUAAAGUCGGGUAUGGAUACCCGUUUGCAUGUACUUUAUGAAUAAGGAUCGGCUAACUCCGUGCCAGCAGCCGCGGUAAUACGGAGGAUCCGAGCGUUAUCCGGAUUUAUUGGGUUUAAAGGGAGCGUAGAUGGAUGUUUAAGUCAGUUGUGAAAGUUUGCGGCUCAACCGUAAAAUUGCAGUUGAUACUGGAUAUCUUGAGUGCAGUUGAGGCAGGCGGAAUUCGUGGUGUAGCGGUGAAAUGCUUAGAUAUCACGAAGAACUCCGAUUGCGAAGGCAGCCUGCUAAGCUGCAACUGACAUUGAGGCUCGAAAGUGUGGGUAUCAAACAGGAUUAGAUACCCUGGUAGUCCACACGGUAAACGAUGAAUACUCGCUGUUUGCGAUAUACAGCAAGCGGCCAAGCGAAAGCGUUAAGUAUUCCACCUGGGGAGUACGCCGGCAACGGUGAAACUCAAAGGAAUUGACGGGGGCCCGCACAAGCGGAGGAACAUGUGGUUUAAUUCGAUGAUACGCGAGGAACCUUACCCGGGCUUAAAUUGCAGAUGAAUUACGGUGAAAGCCGUAAGCCGCAAGGCAUCUGUGAAGGUGCUGCAUGGUUGUCGUCAGCUCGUGCCGUGAGGUGUCGGCUUAAGUGCCAUAACGAGCGCAACCCUUGUUGUCAGUUACUAACAGGUUCCGCUGAGGACUCUGACAAGACUGCCAUCGUAAGAUGUGAGGAAGGUGGGGAUGACGUCAAAUCAGCACGGCCCUUACGUCCGGGGCUACACACGUGUUACAAUGGGGGGUACAGAGGGCCGCUACCACGCGAGUGGAUGCCAAUCCCCAAAACCUCUCUCAGUUCGGACUGGAGUCUGCAACCCGACUCCACGAAGCUGGAUUCGCUAGUAAUCGCGCAUCAGCCACGGCGCGGUGAAUACGUUCCCGGGCCUUGUACACACCGCC
rnacentral:rRNA from 1 species